GGCACGGUUUGGCACGGCUCUGCCCGGCCUGUGCACGGCUCGGCAUGGCUUGGCACGGCUUGGCAGAGCUCUGCCCGGGCUGGGCACAGUUUGGCACGGCUCUGCCCGGGCUGGGCACGGCUUGGCACGGCUUGGCACAGCUCGGCACAGUUUGGCACAGCUCUGCCCCGGCUAUGCACGGCUCGGCAUGGAUUGGCACGGCUUGGCAUGGCUUGGCACAGCUCGGCACGGUUUGGCACGACUGUGCCCGGGCUGGGCACGGCUCCGCAUGGCUUUGUACGGCUUGGCACAGCUCUGCCCUGGCUGGGCACGGCUUGGCUCUGCUGGGCACGGUUUGGCACGGCUAUGCCUGGGCGGGGCACGGCUCGGCAUGGCUUGGCACGCCUUGGCAGAGCUCUGCCCGGGCUGGGCACGGUUUUGCACGGCUCCGCCCGGGCUUGGCACGGCUCCGCAUGCAUUGGCACGGCUUGGCACAGCUCUGCCCGGGCUGGGCACAGCUUGGCUCUGCUAGGCAUGGUUUGGCACGGCUCUGCCCGGGCUGGGAACGGUUUGGCACAGCUUGGCACAGAUCAGCACGGUUUGGCACGGCUCUGCCCGGGCUGGGAACUGAUCGGCAUGCCUUGGCACGGCUAGGCACAGCUCUGCCCGGGCUGGGCACGGCUUGGCACGGCUUGGCUCUGCUGGGCACGGUUUGGCAUGGCUCUGCCUGGGCUGGACACGGUUCGGCAUUGUUUAGCACGGCUAGGCACAGCUCUGCCCGGGCUGGGCACGGCUUGGCACAGCUCUGCACGGUUUUGCACGGCUCUGCCCGGGCAGGGCACAGCUCGGCAUGGCUUGGCAUGGCUUGGCACAGCUCGGAACGGUUUGGCACGGCUCUGCCCGGGCUGGCACGGCUCGGCAUUGCUCGGCACAGCUUGGCACGGUUUGGCACGGCUGUACCCGGGCUGGGAACAGCUUUUCACGGCUUGGCACAGCUCGGCACGGUUUGGCACGGCUUUGCUCCUGGCUG
rnacentral:lncRNA from 1 species